GCGUAACGCGUAUGCAACCUACCUCUUACUGGGGGAUAGCCCGAAGAAAUUCGGAUUAACACCCCAUAAUAUUAUAUACUCGCAUGAGUUUUAUAAUUAAAGGUUACGGUAAGAGAUGGGCAUGCGUCCCAUUAGCUUGAUGGUAAGGUAACGGCUUACCAUGGCAACGAUGGGUAGGGGGCCUGAGAGGGUGAUCCCCCACACUGGUACUGAGACACGGACCAGACUCC
rnacentral:rRNA from 1 species